CGUAGGUGGCAAGCGUUAUCCGGAUUUACUGGGCGUAAAGGGUGUGCAGGCGGGUUUGCAAGUGGUGUAUGAAAUCUCCCGGCUUAACCGGGAGGGGUUAUGCCAGACUGCAAAUCUAGAGGACGAGAGAGGGGGGUGGAAUUCCGGGUGUAGUGGUGAAAUGCGUAGAGAUCCGGAGGAACCCCAGAGGCGAAGGCGGCCCCCUGGCUCGUACCUGACGCUCAGCCACGAAAGCAUGGGGAGCGAACGGGAUUAGAAACCCCGGUAGUCCAUGCCGUAAACGAUGCAAACUAGGCGCUGACGGUCUCAACCCCGCCGGUGCCGCAGCUAACGCGAUAAGUUUGCCGCCUGGGGAGUACGGUCGCAAGGCUA
rnacentral:rRNA from 1 species